GCGCACGCUGGCGGCAGGCCUCACCCAUGCAAGUCGCACGAACCUUUCGGGGUUAGUGGCGGACGGGUGAGUCACACGUGGGAACGUGCCUUUAGGUUCGGAAUAACUCAGGGAAACUUGUGCUAAUACCGAAUGUGCCCUUCGGGGGAAAGAUUUAUCGCCUUUAGAGCGGCCCGCGUCUGAUUAGCUAGUUGGUUGAGGUAAUGGCUCACCAAGGCGACGAUCAGUAGCUGGUCUGAGAGGAUGAUCAGCCACAUUGGGACUGAGACACGGCCCAAACUCCUACGGGAGGCAGCAGUGGGGAAUCUUGCGCAAUGGGCGAAAGCCUGACGCAGCCAUGCCGCGUGAAUGAUGAAGGUCUUAGGAUUGUAAAAUUCUUUCACCGGGGACGAUAAUGACGGUACCCGGAGAAGAAGCCCCGGCUAACUUCGUG
rnacentral:rRNA from 1 species